UACGGAGGGUGCGAGCGUUGUCCGGAAUCACUGGGCGUAAAGGGCGCGUAGGUGGCGACGCAAGUCAACGGUGAAAGCUCGACGCUCAACGUCGAGUCGGCCGUCGAGACUGCGUUGCUCGAGCACUGUAGAGGCAGAUGGAAUUCCGGGUGUAGCGGUGGAAUGCGUAGAGAUCCGGAAGAACACCGGUGGCGAAGGCGGUCUGCUGGGCAGUAGCUGACACUGAGGCGCGACAGCGUGGGGGAGCAAACAGG
rnacentral:rRNA from 1 species